rnacentral:rRNA from 1 species
UCGAGAAUUUUUCUCAAUGGGCGAAAGCCUGAAGGAGCGACGCCGCGUGGGGGAUGAAUGGCUUCGGCCCGUAAACCCCUGUCAUUUGCGAACAAACCUUACCGGUUAACAACCGGUGAGCUGAUUGUAGCGAAAGAGGAAGGGACGGCUAACUCUGUGCCAGCAGCCGCGGUAAUACAGAGGUCCCAAGCGUUGUUCGGAUUCACUGGGCGUAAAGGGUGCGUAGGUGGUAAGGCAAGUCAGGUGUGAAAUCUCCGGGCUCAACCCGGAAAUGGCAUUCGAAACUACCUUGCUAGAGGGUUUGAGGGGGGACUGGAAUACUUGGUGUAGCAGUGAAAUGCGUAGAUAUCAAGUGGAACACCAGUGGCGAAGGCGAGUCCCUGGAAAACUCCUGACACUGAGGCACGAAAGCUAGGGGAGCAAACAGGAUUAGAUACCCCGGUAGUCC